rnacentral:rRNA from 1 species
UGGGGAAUAUUGCACAAUGGGCGCAAGCCUGAUGCAGCCAUGCCGCGUGUGUGAAGAAGGCCUUCGGGUUGUAAAGCACUUUCAGCGAGGAGGAAGGUGGUGAGCUUAAUACGCUCAUCAAUUGACGUUACCCGCAGAAGAAGCACCGGCUAACUCCGUGCCAGCAGCCGCGGUAAUACGGAGGGUGCAAGCGUUAAUCGGAAUUACUGGGCGUAAAGCGCACGCAGGCGGUUUGUUAAGUCAGAUGUGAAAUCCCGGCGUCAACCUGGGAACUGCAUUUGAAACUGGCAAGCUAGAGUCUCGUAGAGGGGGUGAGAAUACCAGGUGUAGCGGUGAAAUGCGUAGAGAUCUGGAGGAAUACCGGUGGCGAAAGGCGGCCCCCUGGCAGCGAAGACUGACGCUCAGGUGCGAAAGCGUGGGGAGCAAAACAGGAUUAGAUACCCUGGUAGUCCACGCUGUAAACGAUGUCGAUUUUGGAGGUUGUGCCCUUGAGGCGUGGCUUCCGGAGCUAACGCGUUAAAUCGACCGCCUGGGGAGUACGGCCGCAAGGUU